rnacentral:tRNA from 1 species
GUGGCUGUAGCUCAGUUGGUAGAGUCCCAGAUUGUGAUUCUGGUCGUCGUGGGUUCGAGUCCCAUCAGUCACCCCA